rnacentral:lncRNA from 1 species
CUUAACACACUAGUAGCUGUUAACAAUACAAAUCAGUGGCUUAAAGGAUAUUUCCAAGGCGACGAAUUCCAUAUGUCAGUAGGAAUUUAGAAUCGUACAACCAGUCGGCAGCUACCCAUAAACCAGACCAACCUAUUAAGUCGAGCGGGCAGAAGCUGUGAUUCCCAGUGUAACACCGCAGAAUGACGGCUAGUUUUCGGAUUACAUUUCUGU